GUGUCAGCAGCCGCGGUAAGACGUAGGGCGCGAGCGUUGUCCGGAUUUAUUGGGCGUAAAGAGCUCGUAGGCGGCUCAUUGCGUCAACCGUGAAAUCCUGCUGCUCAACGGCAGGUCUGCGGUUGAUACGGGUGGGCUGGAGUUCGGUAGGGGAGACUGGAAUUCCUGGUGUAGCGGUGAAAUGCGCAGAUAUCAGGAGGAACACCGGUGGCGAAGGCGGGUCUCUGGGCCGAUACUGACGCUGAGGAGCGAAAGCGUGGGGAGCGAACAGGAUUAGAUACCCUGGUAGUCCACGCUGUAAACGUUGGGCGCUAGGUGUGGGGGGCCUCUCCGGUUUCCUGCGCCGUAGCUAACGCAUUAAGCGCCCCGCCUGGGGAGUACGGCCGCAAGGCUAAA
rnacentral:rRNA from 1 species